AUAUAGAGUAGCGCGUCUUCUGAAUUGCACUUGUUUAAUAAAGAAACAAUCUUCAUUGAUGCUCCUUCACUAUUUUACUUUUAUCUCCUUCAAUUUGUGAUAAUACACGAGGAACCUAAUCAAAAUAUUAUUCAGAUAUUCGUAAACGUUGGACCGCAAUGAGAAUUUUUAAAGAAUUCUCAGUCAAGAUGCACAGGACGAUUGGUGAAGUUGAGCUACUUCGACGAACACAAAAACAGAUGAGGCUUGUAGAGAAAAACCAAAAGUGCCGGUUUCGCUGCUGAAACGUGAAUGUGUUCAGGGCGUGGAGUCAUGCGCUUUAAAAGAAGUCAGGGUCUCCCCUUCCAACCCCGUCUAACAUGGGGAGGAAUUCGCAAACAAGAACUUUCGAGCAAUUGUACAGUCGUGUGGGCCGUUCAAUUAGAUCACGUGUGAGACUGCGUCCUUUAGAUUGUUUCAAUCAUAAUCAUUGGGGAGUCGGUGCUUCUAGAACUUUUGCAAUUGAAGAAUAAAAAACAUCAGAAUGCUCUCGUGGAGAAAAUAUUAUACCACUGAUUAUGUACUGUAAUCAGUAUAAAAAAAAACCAUUGUUUCAAGUAAUUCUAUUAUAUGCUUCUAAUUCAUGUUGUAUGUUCUAUAACAAAGUAUUUUACAUUUAGAUUUAGUAAAUAUAUCAGAUACAUUGUUACGUAUUUAUAUUACAUCUAUUAAAAUGUUGUUCUAC